rnacentral:rRNA from 1 species
GCUCAUUGGUUUUUUAGUGUAAUGAGUCGGGCCUGCCCGGUGGAAAACUUUCUAAACGGUUAUUUAGUCGUACUAAGGUAGCGCAGUAGAUCGUCCUUUAAUUGAGGAAUAGUAUGAAUGGUUUGUCAUGGAGAAGCUGUCUUUGGGGCAUAUAAGAAGAAAUUUCCAUUUAAGUGAGAAGGCUUAAAUUUUUGUAAAAGAAGAGAAGACCCUAUCGAGCUUGAUUAAAAGUGGCAAAAGUAGAUUUGUUUAUUUUGAAGUUUUAUUGGGGCAAUAAGGGGCUAUAAUUAACGCCUCUUUGUGUUAUAAAGAUCCUAUUUGAUAGAAAAAAGCAAAAGCUACCGUAGGGAUAACAGCGCAAUCCUUUUUUUGAGACCGCAUUGGAAAAAGGGUUUACGACAUCGAUGUUGAAUUAAGAGUUUCUUAUGGUGCAGCCGCUAUAAGAGUGAGACUGUUCGUCUUGUGUUUUCUU